rnacentral:misc_RNA from 1 species
GAUGAAGAACGCAGCGAAAUGCGAUAAGUAAUGUGAAUUGCAGAAUUCAGUGAAUCAUCGAAUCUUUGAACGCACAUUGCGCCCGCUAGUAUUCUGGCGGGCAUGCCUGUCCGAGCGUCAUUUCAACCCUCAAGCCCCCGGGCUUGGUGUUGGGGCUCGGCGAGCCUCCGCGCCCGCCGUCCCCUAAAUCUAGUGGCGGUCUCGCUGUAGCUUCCUCUGCGUAGUAGCACACCUCGCACUGGGAAACAGCGCGGCCACGCCGUUAAACCCCCAACUUCUGAACGUUUGACCUCGGAUCAGGUAGGAAUACCCGCUGAACUUAAGCAUAUCAAUAAGCGGAGGA